CCGCCGUAACCGCCGUAACCGCCGCCGGGGCGCGCGGCCGCCGCGCUGGGCGCGGCCGCCCGGGCGGAGGGAAUCGUGUGUUGGCCGGACCCCUGCGCCGUGGCCGCCUCCCGCCGCUCCUAGAGCCGGCACCGCGUUCUCCGCCGGGCUUUCCCUUCCCUCUGGUGGACGGGAGACAUGGGAGGGGAACGCCGACGCGUGUUCUCUCGGCAGCCGCCCACGCGCGGGGCCGGGCAGAAAGGCGCGGGCCGCGUUCGUGCCGCCGCGCGGCUUCCUGCACAAGCCGGGCUUUGUAGAAGCAGCGAGGCGCCUUUGCCAGAGGCGCUGCAGCGUCAGUGUCCUUCACCUGACAAGCAGGCAGGGGUUGUUUCCUCUGCACAGAACAGUUCCCCUCCUGCGCUACCCCAGAGCGUGGCUGCACUCACUCUGCCACCUGAACGCUCUUGGCACCAGCUAUAUCUCUCUGAUCAGUAACUGCCUGAGUGUGACGUACAUUGAAAAUAAUAUUGCCUGUGCCAGCAAAGCUAUGUUACUGCAAAUGAACGUGAGUCACAGAG